GUGCUGGCUUUGGCAGCACAUGUACUAAAAUUGGAACGAUGUAGAGAAGAUUAGCAUGACCUCUGCACGGCGACGGACGGGAAUUAGGCAGUCUGGUUAUUC
rnacentral:snRNA from 1 species